rnacentral:piRNA from 1 species
UAGGCUUCAUGUCGGCAUUUGUGAAGGCCUA